rnacentral:rRNA from 1 species
ACGAACGCUGGCGGCGUGCCUAAUACAUGCAAGUCGAACGCUUCUUUUUCCACCGGAGCUUGCUCCACCGGAAAAAGAGGAGUGGCGAACGGGUGAGUAACACGUGGGUAACCUGCCCAUCAGAAGGGGAUAACACUUGGAAACAGGUGCUAAUACCGUAUAACAAUCGAAACCGCAUGGUUUUGAUUUGAAAGGCGCUUUCGGGUGUCGCUGAUGGAUGGACCCGCGGUGCAUUAGCUAGUUGGUGAGGUAACGGCUCACCAAGGCGACGAUGCAUAGCCGACCUGAGAGGGUGAUCGGCCACAUUGGGACUGAGACACGGCCCAAACUCCUACGGGAGGCAGCAGUAGGGAAUCUUCGGCAAUGGACGAAAGUCUGACCGAGCAACGCCGCGUGAGUGAAGAAGGUUUUCGGAUCGUAAAACUCUGUUGUUAGAGAAGAACAAGGAUGAGAGUAACUGUUCAUCCCUUGACGGUAUCUAACCAGAAAGCCACGGCUAACUACGUGCCAGCAGCCGCGGUAAUACGUAGGUGGCAAGCGUUGUCCGGAUUUAUUGGGCGUAAAGCGAGCGCAGGCGGUUUCUUAAGUCUGAUGUGAAAGCCCCCGGCUCAACCGGGGAGGGUCAUUGGAAACUGGGAGACUUGAGUGCAGAAGAGGAGAGUGGAAUUCCAUGUGUAGCGGUGAAAUGCGUAGAUAUAUGGAGGAACACCAGUGGCGAAGGCGGCUCUCUGGUCUGUAACUGACGCUGAGGCUCGAAAGCGUGGGGAGCAAACAGGAUUAGAUACCCUGGUAGUCCACGCCGUAAACGAUGAGUGCUAAGUGUUGGAGGGUUUCCGCCCUUCAGUGCUGCAGCUAACGCAUUAAGCACUCCGCCUGGGGAGUACGACCGCAAGGUUGAAACUCAAAGGAAUUGACGGGGGCCCGCACAAGCGGUGGAGCAUGUGGUUUAAUUCGAAGCAACGCGAAGAACCUUACCAGGUCUUGACAUCCUUUGACCACUCUAGAGAUAGAGCUUCCCCUUCGGGGGCAAAGUGACAGGUGGUGCAUGGUUGUCGUCAGCUCGUGUCGUGAGAUGUUGGGUUAAGUCCCGCAACGAGCGCAACCCUUAUUGUUAGUUGCCAUCAUUUAGUUGGGCACUCUAGCAAGACUGCCGGUGACAAACCGGAGGAAGGUGGGGAUGACGUCAAAUCAUCAUGCCCCUUAUGACUUGGGCUACACACGUGCUACAAUGGGAAGUACAACGAGUCGCAAAGUCGCGAGGCUAAGCUAAUCUCUUAAAGCUUCUCUCAGUUCGGAUUGUAGGCUGCAACUCGCCUACAUGAAGCCGGAAUCGCUAGUAAUCGCGGAUCAGCACGCCGCGGUGAAUACGUUCCCGGGCCUUGUACACACCGCCCGUCACACCACGAGAGUUUGUAACACCCGAAGUCGGUGAGGUAACCUUUUGGAGCCAGCCGCCUAAGGUGGGAUAGAUGAUUGGGGUG